GGGGACUUAGCUCAGCUGGGAGAGCGUCUGCCUUGCACGCAGAAGGUCACCGGUUCGAUCCCGGUAGUCUCCA
rnacentral:tRNA from 1 species